ensembl:processed_transcript
UCAACAGAAGGAAGAUCUUCAGUCUCGUUUAGAACAAGAGGAGGGAGACGGAUACCAGAGAUGUACAUAAAGAUGAUAGUUUAUUGAAGUAUGGAUGGCACAAUGACCAGGAGAGAGUUUUGUGAUGCAAGGCAAACAGAGAUGGGAUCAGAGAUUGACGACAACCAGAUGGGACCAGAAGAAAGCCACACUAGGAGAGACAGAUGCAGGCACUGGAGAUUAUAGGGAAAUGAGAAAGUUGCCAAGGACAACGACCUCUGUCAGAGAACUGAGAAAGGACUUGUGGUCAAAGUACUUUGAGGACCCCAGCAAUUUAGGCCUCUUCCUAGUCAGACAGAAUGGUACACACACACACACUCACAGAGAGCAGAACAAUGGGUACAGAUGCACAUAGACACAACCAUGACCCCCAACUGAGACUACUUGACCCAGAACUGUGCAGAACAAUUUGGACGAAGGAACAUCAUAACAGAAUUAGAGAAUUAAGUGCUUUUUUGUUCUGUGUAUGCUUCAAGUGAUGUCUGAAGGGCACAUUUGCACAAUAUUCACUUUUAAUGAAAGUUUAAUUAAGCUGUCAAAACAUGAGGUGCAUGCUAUACUGGGAAGAUACUGAACUUGGAUGAAAUCAGUGAACAAACAAACAUCUCAAAGAAAAUGACAUUAUAUGU